UGAUGAGAAAAGGUUAUGAGUUAUCUUGACAAUAUGACAGACUACCCCGCGUCAGCCAUUUUCCUAUUUAAUUUUAUUAUAGUAAUAAAUUUUAAUUUCUCACUAUCAUAUUCUUAUUCACCAUUUUCUCACACGAACUUUCUCAGAAAUUCAAUCAAUGACCAAUCAGUCAAUGACCCAUGACCAGAGCAUGUGCCACUGACAUUUCUCCUAUUUCAUUUUAUUAUAGUAAGAAUUUUCUUGCAACCUGAGCUUGCUUUGCUGUUUGCAAAAAAUCCUUCCCUCAUUUCCAUUGAUCUCUUUCAUUCCCAAGAAGAAAAACAUGGCUGAGGUGGGCUUGGCAUUUCUCUCUGCUUCACUCGCCGUGUUGUUUGACAGAAUGGCAUCUCGUGAGGUGCUUCACUUCAUUCAGGGAAGAAAACCAACUGAAGUGCUCUUGAGGAAAUUGAAGAAUGCAAUGCUGUCUGUGAAGGCUGUGCUUGAAGUCUCGGAGGAAAAGCAACUUACGGAUUCUUCUGUAAAAGAUUGGGUUGAUGAGUUGAAGGAUGUUAUCUACGACGCGGAGGACAUCUUGGAUGAGAUUGCCACUGAAGCCUUGCAAAGCAAGCUGCAGGACGCUGACGCUGAAUCUCCUACCGUGGUAGGAACUUUACUAAACUACUUCUCUGCUCUCCUAAUUGAUCAGCCUUUUUCCGAAAAGGUAGAUAAAAAAAUUGAAAAGGUACUUGGUAGACUUGAAGACCUAACAAAGCAAAAGGAUUGUAUGGGUCUACGUGAAGUAGUAGGAGCUCAAGAAAAACCAAAUCCAGAAAGGUCGUCCACUUCCUACGUCUCACAGUCCGACACUUUUGGUAGGGAUGAGGACAAGAAAAAAGUAAUUGACUUAUUGCUCUCGUCUGAUGCGAGUGGCAAUGAAAGGUGCGUGAUUGCCAUCGUUGGCAUGGGGGGAAUCGGCAAGACUACCCUUGCUCAACUGGCAUACGAUGAUGGUAGGGUGAAAGAUCAUUUCCACCCUACAAUAUGGUUUUGUGUUUCUGAAGAAUUUGUUGUGCCCAAUAUAAUGAAAUCAAUUAUAGUUCAGUGUGCAACCUCGUCAGCUCCUUCUACUGAGGAUCGAGAGCAGCUUCAAGUUACAGUACAGAAGAAUUUGAACGGGAAGAAAUUUCUCCUUGUUUUGGAUGAUGUUUGGAGCGAGACCCCCCAGCAUCGGGAGUUCCUAGGCCAACUCUUGCACUAUGGGACUCGAGGAAGUAAGAUCCUUGUCACCACAAGGAAUGAAAGCGUUGCAUUGGCCAUGAAGGCAAUUGCAACUCAUCAUCUAAAGCUAUUGCCCGAGGAUGAUUGUUGGUCACUUUUUGAAAAACAUGCAUUUCGUGAUGGUAGCUCCAACGCAAAUCCAAAGAUAAAAGAAAUAGGUAGACAAAUUGUGGAAAAGUGCAAAGGUCUACCUUUAGCAAUUAAGGCCAUUGGCGAUCUCUUGGGGUCUAAAUCAGAUCAUGCCGAGAGAUAUUGGACGACCAUAUUGAAGAGCAACUUAUGGGAUGUUCCCAUGGAGAAGACGAACAUUAUUCCGGCUUUGAGGUUAAGUUAUAAGUAUCUCCCCUCAAAUUUAAAACGAUGCUUUGCUUAUUGUUCGAUAUUUCCAAAAGAUUAUCUUUUUGAAAAAGAUAAAUUAGUCUUAUUAUGGAUGGCGGAAGGUUUCUUGCAACAAUCCGGAAUAGAAACUAUGGAAGAAGUUGGCAAUGGUUACUUCAAUGAUCUUGUGUCAAGAUCAUUAUUUCAACAAUCAAGUCGUUCAGUUAAGCCAUGCUUUGUAAUGCAUGAUCUUGUCAACGACUUGGCAAAAUCCGUGACUGGGAAAUUUGGCUUUACGAUGGAGUCUGAUGGCUCAAAAGAAAUUGGAGAGAUGACUCGCUAUUUAUUGUGUUUUGGCUUUGAGAAAAAUGAAAAGCAUCUUUGCAAGGCCAAGCAAUUGCGCACUCUCUUGGCAAUAAAUUCGCCAAUGGGCCAUUUAUCAUCUUUGAAUGAUAACUUUAAGAAGAAUGAAGAGGAUCUCUUGGUACCUGCAGAUUCGUCAAUAGGCUUAAGAGUUCUCUCUCUAUCCGGAAGCAGCUGGGAUAAGAUUAUUAAGUCGUUUGAUCUUAGCAAAAUGAAACAUCUACGUUAUUUGGAUUUUUCUUUCACAGAUAUUGAUGGGUUGCCUGAUUGCAUAUGUAUGUUGUGCAACUUGCAAACGUUGAAUUUAUCAUUUUGUAGUAAGUUGGAAAAAUGGCCAAGAGAUAUGUGGAAACUCAUUAAUUUACGUCAUCUUGAAUUUGAAGGAACUUCCAGAUUAAAGGAGACGCCGAUACAAAUUGGUAGUUUAAAAUGUCUCCAGACGUUGACAGAAUUCGUCGUCAGCAAACAUGACGGUGGGUCUAGCAUUGAAGAAUUGGGAAAACUAAUAAAUCUCCGAGGAAAGCUUUUAGUUCGAGAGCUCCAAAAUGUUAGAUCAGCCAAGGAUGCAAGCUUGAAGAUGAAGGAUUACAUUAAAAAGUUGGUGUUAGAAUGGAAUCGUCCAGAAGAAGUACUUGGUAUUUCGGAAAGUCAAAGAGAUGUACUUGAAGAUCUACAGCCCCAUGAAAACUUGGAAAGUCUCGUCCUCUAUUGCUAUGGCGGGAAUGGUUUUCCAAAUUGGAUAGGGCAAGGGCUUCCUUCAUUGUCUGAGUUGAGAUUAAUUGAUUGCAAAUAUUGUAAUGCCUUGCCACCCCUUGGGCAGCUACAUUUUCUUAAUAAACUCUACAUUUGUCGGUUGGACGAAGUUGUUACUGUGGGUCCAGAAUUUUAUGGAAACAGUAGUAAUUCUUCAAUGAAGCCAUUUGGAAGUUUGAAAGUUCUAGUGCUUAGGAAUAUGUCGAAUUGGGAAGACUGGCUUCACUCGGGUGGCGAAAAUGAAGUUGAAAUAUUUUCUCAACUCGAAAAGUUGAGUAUUAAGAAUUGCCCCAAGCUGAGAGCAAAGUUGCCUGUACAUCCUUCUUCAUUGGCCAAACUUGAGAUCAUCGAAUGUAAGAAGUUGGAGCUGCCCAUGCAGCGGCAAUAUUCAUCCCUUGAAGAAUUGUGCUUGAGAGAUUGUUGUGACUCCCUGACGUCCUUUCCAUUAGACCUAUUCCCAAAUCUGAAGAGCAUUAAAAUAAGAGGAUGUUGUAAUCUGCAAUCUUUAGAACAACAUGGAGAUGAUCAUUUAGUGAUAUCAAAAUUAAGAAUCCUUGAAUGUCCUAAGUUUGUAGAUUUUCCAAAAGGAGGAUUGCGUACCUCUAACCUUGCAAACUUUAUCGUCAAAAAUUGUGAGAGCUUGAGGUCAAUGCCAGAUAAGAUGCACCUAUUUCUUCCGUCUCUUUGUUAUUUGGAGUUAGUAAAUUGUCCAGAAGUAGGGUCGUUUCCAGAAGGGGGAUUGCCUUCCAAUCUGAAGCAAAUUGUGAUCGUCAGGUGUAAGAAACUCAUUGCAAACUGGAAGGGAUGGGAUUUGCAAAUACUCCCCUCUCUUGAAUGGUUGACAAUCAACAACGACAAAUUAGAAGAUCACGUGGAGUCCUUUCCUGGAGGGUUGUUGCUGCCCACCACUUUGACCAAUCUUAAGAUCUCUUCAUUUGGAAAUUUGAAAUCUUUGGACAAGGAGGGGUUUCAACACCUCACCUCCCUUGAAGAAUUGCACCUCAAUGACUGUCCCAAUCUCAGAUACAUGCCAGAAGAGGGGUUUCCUACUUCCCUUCAUGUUUUAAAAAUAAAGAACUGUGAUCCUGUGUUGAAGGAAGAGUUGGAAAGGAAAGAAGGAGAAGAAUGGCUCAAGGUGACUUGCGUCCCCAACAUAAAAAUUACUCACAAAGUCAUCCAAGGAGAUUAUUUUUGGGAAGUUUAUAGCCUGAGUAGUCCGUAUGAACCACCGUUUUACGAGGGUGAGUGCGAGUUCGGCUGGAUCUCCUGGAUUGACAGCUAGCUUUCAGAAAGUGGAGGAUGAUGAUCACACUAUUAACAAGUUCUGGGUAACAAGCAACGAAGUAGGAACAAAGAAGCAAUGCCAAGAGAUGUUGAUUGCAAGGAUGCAGAGCUAGAGAGCCAUGAGAAGAUUAGUCCAGAGAGCUAAUAAGUGUUAUUUCCACAAGCAUUUAGUUUAUGAUUAUAAUAUUUGAAUAAGUGAUCACCACAUAGGACUAGUUUAUGCCUUUACAUUAUGUUUUUAGCUUUAUAUUAUCAAAGACUAUUAUGUUUAGUUGGUUUGAUGAUUCAAUAUACGAGGUGUUUUCAUGACUUCGGAUGUCUGUACUAGGCAUUAUGUUAUGAAUGUUGAUAAUAUUCAUGACCUACAGGAAGGGGUGUUACAAUGCAAGACUCCCUCACUUUGAACAUUAGUUUUAUACUUUUCUAUUAUGAAAAAUAGUUGGAAAUAAUUAUUGUAUGGAUUAGCUUCUUAUAAUAUAUGAUUUUUGCAA